rnacentral:lncRNA from 1 species
AUGUGCAGGACACUUGGGUCAGGAAGGCAGGGGAUGGAUUUCUUUCCUUCCUUCCUUCUUUAUUUUUUAAUGGAAAAUAAAAUUGCAAAAUUCUCAGAGAUGCAGUACAAAAGCUGCCACUUGAAUUUCCCUCAGGAAUUUCACGCUUUCUCCCGCAGAGCAGUCACUUGGCUCUGCAGGGCUCAUGUCAGAGGGGAUUUGUUACUGGCACAGCUGGAGCUGUUUGCUGCUAAAGGGAUUAAGGAGCUGGGCAGAGCCCCACAGGUGAGAAUCGCCAGCUGCUGGGGGGGGGGGAGGCAGGGGGGAUUCUGGGGGCACUUUAUAAAUGCCCUCUGUGGCCUAAGGGCCCUUUUGGUGUUUCCUUGCAUGAGCCCAGAGGGAAGAACCCCCAGGAAGGGGAACAAGGGCGCAGACCCAACCACGUGCUGUUUUGGAAGAGUUGCGUAAGAGGGAAGCGGAGAGGAGCCCAAGCAGCAGAUUGCUUUGUGGAGGAGCACGGAGCAGCCGUAGCCAGGGCUGCCGCCUCUCCCCGCUGCUGGCACAGCUCAGGCAUUUCGGCUGGAUGAAGCGCACGCGUUGUGGGCUCCGCGGCGUUCCUGGGAGCGUCUCGGUGAGCGUGCGGAGGGCGGGGGAGCCCAGGGGGGCGUGCAGGCACCGCAUGCUCUUCUUCCUCAUGGGCCUGCUCCUCUGCGGGCUCCAGCGGGGAGCUCCCAGCCGUCCCCGUUUGUGGGAUGGCCGGGGUGGUUGGGGGGAGCUGCAUGAUCCCAUCCCUCCUGGAUCUUGGGGAGCUGCGUGUUGGGAGUGCAGGUGCCAGCCCCCGGCUGCUCCCUGCCCUGCUCCUCUCCAGGGGCUGAAGCCGCUUUGCAAAGACACCCGGGGGCAGGUGGGGGGCUGCCAGCACCCCCCUCUGCAGCAGCCUGGGGAGCUCCGGGGGCUUCCCUGCUGAUGCUGUUCUGGGGAGAGGAGGAGGAGGAGGAGGAGGAGGAGGGUGGCACCCACUGGGCUGCCUCUCCCGCUGCCCUAACCCCAUCGAUCUGUGCCGAUCCCGGGCUGAUGAGAUGUGUGAGGCGAUCGAUAUACCUGCAGCGCUGCGAGCGCGGGCAGGGUUUAACCCCUUGUGCCCUCCCCACCGUGGGUCCCCCCUGUGCCUCUGGGGGUGCUGGCAGGGCACUCGGGUCUGGCUGCUCAGGCUGUGGUCUGUGCAUCACCGCCGCCUGCUAGCGGGCACGGGGGGGCUCAGAUCACACCCCUACCACUGACCGUGUGUCCCGUGAUGUCCCCUGCUGUGCCUGUCCCUGCUGGGUGCGCCACCAGCCUGCCCGGCCCCAGCCUUUGAGCUGCCUGCUUCCUUGGGGAUGUUUUAGCCUUGUUUUGCCUCCUCAGAAAACUCCAGAGAGGGGCAUGGGAAGAGUGGGGGGAGGAAGGAAAGGGAAGGGGAGGGAGGGGG